rnacentral:rRNA from 1 species
CCUACGGGUGGCAGCAGUCGAGAAUUAUUCACAAUGGGGGAAACCCUGAUGGUGCGACGCCGCGUGGGGGAAUGAAGGUCUUCGGAUUGUAAACCCCUGUCAUGUGGGAGCAAAUUAAAAAGAUAGUACCACAAGAGGAAGAGACGGCUAACUCUGUGCCAGCAGCCGCGGUAAUACAGAGGUCUCAAGCGUUGUUCGGAAUCACUGGGCGUAAGGCGUGCGUAGGCUGUUUCGUAAGUCGUGAGUGAAAGGCGCGGGCUCAACCCGCGGACGGCACAUGAUACUGCGAGACUAGAGUAAUGGAGGGGGGACCGGAAUUCUCGGUGUAGCAGUGAAAUGCGUAGAUAUCGAGAGGAACACUCGUGGCGAAGGCGGGUUCCUGGACAUUAACUGACGCUGAGGCACGAAGGCCAGGGGAGCGAAAGGGAUUAGAUACCCGGGUAGUC